UCAGCCUUUUUUUUUGUAAAGAUGAAGUGUAGUAUUUGUUUUUUAUCAGUUUGAUAUUUGAUAUGUGGGAUAUCAACAUCACUUGAUAUAUGUUUAUAUUUUAUGGGAGAAUGUCCAUUUUCCUAGUUUAGUGAUGCGGUUCUUUCGUGUAUCAUAUUGGAUUUGCACUACUACCACAACUUGGCACACCCUUC